UGGGUCCUACGGGACGCAGCAGUGGGGAAUAUUGCACAAUGGGGGAAACCCUGAUGCAGCGACGCCGCGUGAGCGAAGAAGUAUUUCGGUAUGUAAAGCUCUAUCAGCAGGGAAGAAAAUGACGGUACCUGAGUAAGAAGCUCCGGCUAAAUACGUGCCAGCAGCCGCGGUAAUACGUAUGGAGCAAGCGUUAUCCGGAUUUACUGGGUGUAAAGGGAGCGCAGGCGGUCUGGCAAGUCUGAUGUGAAAUACCGGGGCUCAACUUCGGGACUGCAUUGGAAACUGCCAGACUGGAGUGUCGGAGG
rnacentral:rRNA from 1 species